ACGUAGGGGGCUAGCGUUGUCCGGAAUCAUUGGGCGUAAAGCGCGUGUAGGCGGUCCGGUAAGUCCGCUGUGAAAGUCGGGGGCUCAACCCUCGGAUGCCGGUGGAUACUGUCGGGCUUGAGUACGGAAGAGGCGAGUGGAAUUCCUGGUGUAGCGGUGAAAUGCGUAGAUAUCAGGAGGAACACCGGUGGUGUAGACGGCUUUCUGGACCGACACUGACGCUGAGACACGAAAGCGUGGGUAGCAAACAGGA
rnacentral:rRNA from 1 species